rnacentral:rRNA from 1 species
GACGAACGCUGGCGGCGUGCCUAAUACAUGCAAGUCGAGCGGACGGACGAGAAUCUUGCGGCGUUGAUGUUAGCGGCGGAGGUGAGUAAAACACGUGUAUAACCUACCUAUAAUACUGGGAUAACUUGGGGACACGGGCUCUAAUACGGUAGAAGAUUUUGAUGCGUAUUGGUGAAAAGUAAAAUACGGUCUUGCGGGCACUAAUAGAUGGAUCUGCGCUGCAUUAGCUGGUUGUUGAGGUAAAGGCUUAUCAAGGCAACUAUGCAUAGCCGAACUGAGAGGGUGAUCGGCCACACUGGAGCUGAGCCACGGUCAAGACUACUACGGGAGGCAGCAGUAGGGAAUCGUCCGCAAUGGGCGAAAGCAUGACGGAGCAACGCCGCGUGAGUGAUGAAGGUCCUCGGAUCGUAAUACUCUGUUACUAGGGAAGAACAUAUGUGUAAGUUACUGUGGACAUAUUGACGGUACCUAAUAAGAAAGCCACGGCUAACUACGUG